CUGGUCCGUUUAUUUCUAGAUCCACUUACUUUCUGAAUUACUUCCUUUGAGAUUUCUUAUUUCUUUUGUUUGAUUUCCAGAAGUUCUUUUUUUUUUUUGGUGAGGUGGUUUUAAUUUUCUUUUUUUCUGCCUCGAAAACAAAUCUAUUUUGAUUAAAUUUUUUCUUCAGAUUGGUUUUUCAAAACGGUUUCAAAAUUUACUAGAUCUAGAUUCCUGUAUUUUUUUUUCUUCUAUUUCGAUUAAAUUUUUUCUUCACGAUUGAUUUUUUUCUUUCUUCAGAUUGGUUUUUCAAACGGUUUUAAAAUUUACUAGAUCUAGAUUCCUGUAUUUUUUUCUUUUUAAUCUGCAGGCAAUUAUGUUAACAACGGGGAGGAUGAUUGUUGAUGGAAUUUUUUUGGAUCUGGUUUCACUAAGGUUGGUAGGUGCAAGAGCAGAAGAAAGAAAGAAAUCAAUCGAUACAGGAUGUUUAGAUCUUUGAUGUACAGAAAUCAUUGGUAGCAGGAAGGAGGUAUAAUUGAUGGUGAACAGUCAAUUUUAUGAGAUUUGGUGAGGAUAGAGGUAUAUAUAUGAGAUGGAUGUAAAAGAGAUCCAUACAAAAAGCCCUAUGUAUGAGUUUUGCGUAUCGGAUCUUCUUUGUCAUCUGACCUUUGCCAUGACGGGUGCGCUUGCUUGGUAGGUCAAAAAAAUACAUAAUAAAAAAAAGAGUUUUGGUGUUGAACAGGGGAGUUCGCACGGGGUGUUUUUUUGCCUGGGUUCUCUCCUGUUUUCUGUGUGUGUUGUUGUCAUAUCCAUCUUUAUGUUCUUGAUUCCAUAUCAAACUCCAUCACUAUAGUAUCUGAACAAUUGAAAGUCUCUGGCGUCAAAUCAAGGAAUUUUUGCGGCUUCUACCUUCCAACUCUUCAAGGUAUAAUUGCCUAAAUUAUCUUUUUUAACUUAAAUUAUCUAUUUUUUACAUUAUUUUACAUUAAAUCUCAGCUCGACUUGAGACCGAUUAAACAGUCACAUCGUCCCCUUAAAUUUGAUACAUCGCCUCAAUCAAAGAAUAAUUUCAAUUUUUAAUUUAAGCAUGCAAUUUCUUUCUUUUCAGUUGGUUUCAGAUUUAUUCAUGGAUGAAUAAUUGUUCUCAAGGUCUAUAAUACACUACUCUACUGUUUGGUUCUUGUUCAAUUGUUUAUUCGAAUCCAUCUAAUUCUAUGACUAUGACUAUUUUGAAGAUACAUUGAGAGCAAUUUUGUAUAUCGAGUUAAUCAGUCUAUAUAAUCUUUUUCAUGUCGGAUAAGAGCAGAGCAAUUUGCAAUUUUGUAUAUUGAGGGAUUUUGUAUUUUUUUGGUAAGGACAUCAAGUAGUUAGAUUGAAGACUAGUAAGAGCAGGCGAAGGAAAGCGUUUUGGGGUGCUUGUGGUAGUACUCUUUACCAACUCUCUAAUUUACCAUUUACCAUCCGUCUUGUUAUGCAAGUAUUGUCAGCUCUGUAAUUUGCACAUCUGAAGUUUUUGUUAUACAGAAGUUCUUAUAUACUUUGAUACUUUGAUAUUUUGAUGUAUUUGAUGUUCAGAAUUAUUCCAAUAUACUUUGACAGAAGUUCUUCCCUGAGCUGAUAUUUCCACAAUAAUUUAUUGGGGCCUUCCAUACCAUGUGUUCUAAUUUUUCAUGUCUUCUUUGUCACAGGAAUCCCAAAGAGUCUUAAGAUGCCAACUAUGGGUAGUCCACCAUCCACAUGUUACGUAUAUUGCUAACCCAAAAAAAAAAGAACAUAUUACAUAUAUAUUAUACAUACACAUUCAUACCAUGCUUCAAAAAAAACAUGCAUACCCGAUUUUGAAAUUAGAGCUUGUUUUGCCGUAAAAUUUUUAAUAAAUGAAUAAUCCACCUCACUUCUGGUUCUGGUUCAAUUGAUAUAUAAAACUAAAAUGAGGUGAGGUUUGAUAGUUAUCCUUGGUUGUUGAACUUUUGUAUUUAUGGACUCAUAAGCUUAAAAUGGCAAGAGCACCCAAACCCCGAUUAAUGGUUGUUUGUGGAGGUUGAUGGUUCAAAUCCAUCGGGUCCUACCUACAGAUUGCUGUGUGUUGCUGUGACUAAUAUUGCUUUAUUGACCUUAUGAAACUGGCAGUUGAAGUCCGAAAAUCACUGACAUCUAUGAUUCAACUUUAUUGGCUCACUCAGCACAUCAUCACGACAUGGUUUCUGAUUUUGAGGGGAAAGGUUACCGCAACUUCACAAUCUCAGGAAGCAAUGGACCAAGACACUAAUGACAUCACUUUAAGGCCAUGACACACUCAAGGGAAAGGAACCUGAGAAACAGCACUACCAGGUGUUCGUCUUUCUACUCUACUUUGUUAUAUUUGAUCACUUGUCUUCUCUUUUGCUUGCUCUGCAUUUUUUCUGCAUUUUCAUCAUUAUGCAUAUCCUUGCAUGAAACUGUCACGGUUUAGGAAACCCCAACACUAGAAAUCAUCUACAAAACACAAUUAGAAACUAUGAUCCUGACAUCAUUUUUUUGUCCAAAGCUAAAACUCACCCUCCUAAGAAAAAUUAUUAUCCAAGUAAAAUGCAUUACCUAAAUUACUGGUCUAUGUUCCUCCUAUUGGUAGAAAGGGUGGUUUGGCCUUGGCCUUAUUGUGGAAGGAUGGGUUCUACUUUCAAGUUGAAACUUGAAGACAGUACUUCCUACCUAAUAAAUAUCAUCCUCAAAUCUAAUUCAGAAUCAGAGACGUGGAUGUUAACUUGCAUGUAUGGGUCACCAUAUACACAAUUUAGACAUGCACAAUGGGAUUAUAUCACUCAAAUGAGCUAUCACAUUACACAGCCAUGGGUUAUAGUUGGGGAUCUGAAUGUUACUUUACAUUCGACUGGACCAGUCAGAGUACGACUGGAUAGAGCAUUAGCUGGAUAGAGCAUUAGCGAAUUCUGGUUGGUUCUUAAAAUAUCAAGAAGCAUUGGUAUAUCAUCUACUUCCUGUGGGCUCAGACCAUUCACCCAUCUUACUACAUACAGAUCCCAGCACACCACCUCUACGGAGAUCUUUUCGAUGUUAUGAAUUCUGGUUUAAAUACCCUCAAUGUCGAGACAUCAUAGCUUCAAGCUGGAAGACAAAUAUCAUAGGAUCUCCGGCUUAUCAAUUUGUGACUCAACUUAAGGCCACUAAAAUAGCUCUCAAGCAGUGGAAGAAUGCAACUUUUAGUGAUAUAUCAGCCUCUACUGCUCAAGUACAAGCUCAUCUACAAGCACUAUAGAUUCAAAUGGAGAUCAACAUAUUAUUCAACCACUCAAAGAAAAGCUACUGAUGUAUGAUUCCUAUAACCACAUGAUGUUCCAGCAAUCACGGGAAAACAUACUGAAAUGUGAAGAUAAGAACACUAAGUUUUUUCAUUCAAAGGCCAAUUAUCGCAGGAGGCAUAAUUACAUAGACUCCAUUCAGGACAGCAAGGCAUUCCAGUCGAGCCUAUAUUACGAAUAUUCUGAUGCAGCACUUUCAAGCAGUAAUCAGUACCUCUCAUCCACCAACUGAUGACGAUUUUCUGUCACUUUUUCCAGCUUGUGUGACAGAAGAUGACAAUCUCAGGUUAAUCCAAGUCCCCUCUGAAGAAGAAGAAGUCAAAGCCAUGGUAUUUCAAAUCAAACCAUGGAUAGCUCCAGGUCCCGAUGGUUUUCAAGAAGGAUUUUAUCGAAAUUUUUGGCCUAAUGUUGGCACUGCCGUCACUCAAAUGGUACAAUCUUUCUUUACUUCUGGGUAUUUACUUAAACAGUUAAAUGAUACAUUCCAAGUUCUCAUACCCAAAACAGAAACUGCAUAUACGGCUUCAGAUUACCGACCCAUUAGUCUUUGUAAUGUUCCAUAUAAAAUUAUUUCCAAACUGCUCACCAACAGACUAGAACCAAUCAUUUCAAAAUUAGUCUCUCCAUGGCAGGCUGCAUUUGUACCAGGAAGAAACAUUGCAGACAAUACUAUCAUAGAAAAUCAAGUGAUUGCAUAUAUGAGAAGGACACAACUCUUCUCCGGUAUUCUAGGUGUAAAGUUGGACAUUUCGAAGGCAUUUGACCAUAUGGAAUGGUCCUUUUUACUUCAAAUUCUGCAACAAAUGGGAUUUUCUUCACAUUGGUGUCGAAUGAUAUCAAUGCAUCAGCACAGUUUAUAUAUCUGUAUUGGUUAAUGGAUCUCCCGCACCAUCAUUCUGUCCUUCUAGAGGAUUGCGGCAAGGUGAUUCUUUAUUGCCAUAUUUAUUUAUCCUGUGUAUGGUUAGCAGGCUAAUUCAACAUGCUCUGUCAGAGGGGCUCACCAAAGGAGUUAAACCAGUAAUAAACAGCCCGGCUGUUACGCAUUUAUUCUUCGCGGAUGAUUGGCCACUGUUCACUGAAGCAAAAGUGUGUGUUUCAGUAAAAACCUAUCUCCCGCUGCUUGUGACCAUAUUCUCCAAAUGCUUAACAUGAAGCCAGUGCCUCUCACUUAGAAAUAUUUAGGCAUCAAGUUAUUCACAUCUAGAAAUAAAAUGCUUCACUCCAACAAUUGAUAGGAUGAAGGUGAGGUUACAAGGAUGGUAUGGAAAAAUCAUCAAUCAGGCAGGAAGGUCUACCCAAAUCCAAGCUGUAAUCAGCAAUAUGGCUAAUUUCCAAAUGAACUACUUCCGAAUACCAAAUAACACCAUACAGAAAAUAAAUCAAAUUCAGAGGGGAUACUGGUGGAACAAGCCAAUGUCUGGAGGUUAUUGCUUUAAAUCCUGGCUCUCUUUAUGUUUUUCUAAGCGACUAGGUGGUUUCAAAAAUCCCCAUCUAUUUAAUCUGGCCUUGCUAGCAAAGUGGCAUUGAGAUUACUUACAGAACCUGAUGCCCCAUGAGUUCAAGUACUUAGAGCUCGCUAUUUUGCCAACAAGGAUUUACUCACAGAUGUGCUACCAGCUACUGGAACCUGGAUAUGGAGAAGUAUUUUACAGGGACUUGAGAUAGUUAAACAGAAUUAUAUUUGGGAUGUUGGUAAUGGUCACCAAAUACAACCAUGGAAACACCACUGCGUAACUACAUCUCCAAUCUCUCCUCGGCCUCACCUGGAUCAGCCUCAACAUUUGACUCUUAUCUCAUUUUAUCAACGACAAUCAGCAGUCGGACAUAUCACAGCUUCAACUUUAUUUUGGCCCAGCAACCCUCAAUGAAAUACAGAAAAUCCCAUUAUUUCCUCAAGCCGUAGACAAAUUGCAGUGGGCUCUCACAAGAACAGGCAAGUUUACUGUGGGUUCUACUUAUAAUCAGCUAAUUAUCCAACACGAGCAAGAUAUGAAUUAUACAACGACUUUCUCUGCACAUUACUGGUUAGAAUUAUGGCAUAUGAAUAUCCCAUACACACUUCAGUUCUUUAUGGGGAAACUAUCACACUAUAUUUUACCUGUUGCAUCUGUGAUAUAUAAAUACUCUCCUCAAAAGUCUCAGAUGUGCGCAAUGUGUGGGAAUGAGGUUGAAACUACAAUUCAUCUGCUGUUAAAAUGUUCAUUCGCAGAGGUGCAAUGGUUUGCCACUUCAGAGUAUUUAUGGCAUCAUCUUAUUCCAGUUAACAACCUACAAGAGUGGUUUUCAUCGUGGACCCAACAACAGAAUCCAGUCUCAUUUCAGGCAGAUCAUUUAUCCAACCUGGUGGUGGUUUAUAUGGAAAGCUCGUUGCUCCUUAGUGUUCCAGGCCAUUAAAACUAAUCCAAUCAGCACUACUAGAAGCAUAUAUCAUUAUUGUCACCAGUUUAUAGAUAUUCAUAUAGAUCAUCAUGCAUCAGUAGGCAGUACUAGGCCAAAACAUCUGCAUAAGCACUGGACUCCUCCACAUGGAUGGGUCUCUAUCACUGUUGAUGCUUCUAUGAUUACUACUAAUAAUAACUCUGCUGGUAUGGGUCUGGUUAUGCGUAAUGAUGCAGGAGUUUUGUUAGCUGCAAAAACCAUCUCAACAGAGGCGCUUGAUAUUGAUCAAGCAAAAGCACUUGCAGUCUUGGAAAGAUUAAAAUGGGCUCAACAAAUUCAUUGUAAAAAACUAACUGUACAGGCAGACAAUAAAGGAGUGGCUGAAGCUGUUUCUAACCUUGAAUUGUUUGAUUAUUGCUCUGUAAAUUAUAUCAACAGAACCUGUAAUCAUCCUGCGCAUGUUUUUGCUAAAUUUGCUCUUAAAAAUCUAUGUAAUACAGUGUGGCGUCACUCCUCCUAAUGUAAUUAGGAGGCAGCUUCUGCAAGCCGACUGCAGAAGCUUAAAUGUAUCUUUAGCCUAUGAAUAAAUUGUCUUUCAGAAAAAAAA